GGCCAAGUCAUAUCGGACUUUUCUCAAUCCCCCGGACUGCAGCAUGCCAGGCUUCCUUGUUCCUCAUCGUCUCCUGGAGUUUGCUCAAAUUCAUGUCCAUUGACUUGGACAGUCAGUUGUUUGAUACAUGGUUCUAACUGUUGCUUCUUGACCUGCAUACAGGUUUCUCAGGAGACAGAUACUGAAACCCCAGCAGGUGGAGGAAGUUAAACACAUGAUGACCAGACAGUAGCCGUGACAUAAGCUGCCACAAUUCUGAGAAUUGGCCUCAAGGAAAUGGAAACAAACCGGCCCUGGAACUGAAGACUAAUUGUACUUAAAACAAUCACCACAUGACCAACUUUAAGAAGACUGGCGGAGCUGACUGUGUCUGCAUGAAGCCCCCUCUGUCUAUAAAAGCUCUUGCCCACUGCUUGUCAGUGGGGGGUGUCAGCCUUUGGACUAGAGUCUGCCCUUUCCCCCACCUCAGUUGCCAGCAUCUGAAAUAAAGUAAACUUACCUUUCCACAAAACUUGUCUUGCUAUUGGCUUUUGAGGGGUGAGUAGCCAGACCUCCACUUUUGGUUACACUUCCUACAGGGGCAGCCUUGGAAAGGAGGCAGGACAGAGGUUCAGGAAGGCAAAUGAAGGAGAGAAGGGCUCUUCAAUCUUCGUCCUUCAACAGUAACAACUGACAUGGACAGAGGACUGUCUUUUGCCAGACACCAUCCUGAGAGCCUUAACAUGUAAC
ensembl:lncRNA